rnacentral:rRNA from 1 species
UUGCGGCAUUAUCCAAAAGCGGAGGAAAAGAAACCAACAGGGAUUGCCCUAGUAACGGCGAGUGAACAGGCAAGAGCUCAGAUUUGAAAGGCACUUUUGUGCCGUUGUAUUCUGAAGUUAGGGUCCUGAGAAACGAUGCUUAAGUCUUCUGGAAAGGAGCGCCAUGGAGGGUGAUAGCCCCGUCUAGCAUUGACCUCAUAUAGGAUCUUAACAUGGAGUCGAGUUGUUUGGGAAUGCAGCUCAAAUGGGUGGUAUGCUCCAUCUAAAGCUAAAUAUCUGCGAGAGACCGAUAGUAAACAAGUACUGUGAGGGAAAGAUGAAAAGAACUUUGAAAAGAGAGUGAAAAAGUACGUGAAAUUGUUGAAAUGGAAGGGUAGGCCGCUAACCAUGUAGAGCCGUGUUUGGGGGGAAGAUAAAUGCUGUAGAAUGUAGCUCCUCGGAGUAUUAUAGAUGCAGUUCAUAUUCCCACCCGAGCGCGAGGAUCUCAGUAUAUCUAAAAACACUU